rnacentral:rRNA from 1 species
UACGUAGGUCCCGAGCGUUGUCCGGAUUUAUUGGGUUUAAAGGGUGCGUAGGCGGGAUGCCAAGUCAGCGGUCGAAUACGGGGGCUCAACCUGCGUCCGCCGUUGAAACUGGCGUUCUUGAGUGGGCGAGAAGUACGCGGAAUGCGUGGUGUAGCGGUGAAAUGCAUAGAUAUCACGCAGAACCCCGAUUGCGAAGGCAGCGUACCGGCGCCCAACUGACGCUGAAGCACGAAAGCGUGGGUAUCGAACAGG